GCCAGGCAUGGUGGCGCUUGCCUGUAAUCCCAGCUACUUGGGAGACUGAGGUAAGAGAAUUGCUUGAACCUGGGAGGCUGGAGUGCAGUGAGCCGAGAUCAUGCCACUGCACUCCAGCCUGGGCAACAGAGCAAGACUCCAUCUCAA
rfam:Gorilla gorilla gorilla genomic chromosome, chr5, whole genome shotgun sequence